rnacentral:misc_RNA from 1 species
UUCAAAGACAGCAAUCUCAAUCUCGAAAAUCUCCAAAUACCAUAACAAACUAUAUGCCUAGGAGUCGUAGUGUUGGUAUUGGAAGAAUCGAUGAAGAAAAGCCUUGCGAUUUUGAAGAUGAUAUCAAGGUCAAAACUGAUGUAUUUCCAAGAAGCAUGAGCUAUGCUGUUUCUAAAAGAAGUACUGGAGUGUUCUAAAUCAAGAAAAUACUAUAACAAGGGCAAGUAAUUUCCUCUAAUUCUCCAUCAAUCUCUUCUCCAAAUUCUUCCUUCUCCUCUUGUUCUUAUAUUAUAUUAUUGCAGCAGGUUGUUG